rnacentral:rRNA from 1 species
GAUGAACGCUGGCGGCGUGCCUAAUACAUGCAAGUCGAGCGAACAGAUAAGGAGCUUGCUCCUUUGACGUUAGCGGCGGACGGGUGAGUAACACGUGGGUAACCUACCUAUAAGACUGGGAUAACUUCGGGAAACCGGAGCUAAUACCGGAUAACAUUUGGAGCCGCAUGGUUCUAAAGUGAAAGAUGGUUUUGCUAUCACUUAUAGAUGGACCCGCGCCGUAUUAGCUAGUUGGUAAGGUAACGGCUUACCAAGGCAACGAUACGUAGCCGACCUGAGAGGGUGAUCGGCCACCCUGGAACUGAGACACGGUCCAGACUCCUACGGGAGGCAGCAGUAGGGAAUCUUCCGCAAUGGGCGAAAGCCUGACGGAGCAACGCCGCGUGAGUGAUGAAGGGUUUCGGCUCGUAAAACUCUGUUAUUAGGGAAGAACAAACGUGUAAGUAACUGUGCACGUCUUGACGGUACCUAAUCAGAAAGCCACGGCUAACUACGUG